CUCUCUCUCUCUCUCUCUCUCUGAGCCUGAGCCCUGAAUUCGUAAAUUCAGAGAAUUUUCCGCCAUAUUUACUCGCGGGCUUUUGGUUCCUACUCCCCACGUUCAGAGUCGUAAAACCACCCAUUCUUCGCCUAGUGGAUUACGAUAAAGCUAGCAAGUGAAUUAAGCAUUAGAUGAGGCUUUUGCAGUUUGGAUUGUUAGUGUCUUUAGCUUCAGGACUCGCUGCAAUAUUCGUCUACCUCACUGGCGUCACCCAUCUCCACGAAAGUUAUUGGCCUUCGAAUGAAGAUUUGGAAGCCUUGCGGUCUUUGCAGAGCGAUUUCCAGAAGUGUGUGAGAGCAAAUGGAUUAGGUUUACAAGCUGCGAGUGGCAAAGAUUAUUGUCAGGUCAAGAUUAACUUCCCUAGCGACACCAUCCCCAAAUGGUUCCUUGGAAAUUUGGAAUGCAAACAGAGAGAUCCUAAAACUGGUGAACUAGAAGGGUUGUCAUUUGAUUUUAAUCUGUGUGAAACUGUGGCUACAUGGGAACAGGUGCGCAAUAGUACCACAAUACUCACCAAAGAAUUCAUUGAUGCUUUGCCAAAUGGAUGGGAGGAAUAUGCGUGGCACAGGAUCAAUAAGGGAAUACUUCUCAAUCACUGUGAGAACAAGAGUCUAUGCAUGGAGAAACUUUCACUGGUACUCCCUCAAACACCACCAUAUCUUCCCCGACAAUUUGGUCGUUGUGCUGUUAUUGGGAACUCAGGUGAUCUAUUGAAAACAAGGUUUGGAAAGGAGAUAGAUGGUUACGAUGCUGUUAUCAGAGAAAAUGGUGCUCCAAUCCAGAUCUAUUCAGACUAUGUUGGCAAAAAGAGUACAUUCCGUCUUCUUAAUAGGGGAUCUGCCAAAGCUCUUGAUAAAGUUGUGGAGUUAGAUGAAACAAGGAGGGAGGUCUUGAUCAUUAAAACGACAAUUCAUGAUAUCAUGAAGAAAAUGAUACUGGAUAUUCCAAUAAAAAAUCCUAUAUAUCUCAUGCUGGGUGCAUCCUUUGGUUCAGCAGCUAAAGGAACUGGGCUCAAGGCUCUUGAAUUUGCUCUCUCUAUUUGCGAAUCAGUAGAUAUGUAUGGCUUCACUGUGGAUCCCGGUUAUAAAGAAUGGACUAGAUAUUUCUCAGAAUCUCGACAAGGUCAUACUCCUUUGCAUGGUAGGGCUUACUAUCAAAUGAUGGAGUGUUUGGGACUGAUCAAAAUCCAUUCUCCUAUGCGAGCUGAUCCAAAUCGUGUCAUCAAAUGGGUACCAAGCCAUGGCACAAUUAGAGCUGCUAGAAUUGCAUCAGAGAAAUUAUUGAGUUUUAUGUGGCAGGAGUCGUCCAUUUGUUGCAAGUGCUACAAUUCAACAGUUUUGAGGAGGGUUGGAGGUGCGUCAGGUGACCCACUUGCCUCAUGUUCGAUCGUUAAGAAGCAAGUUGAGAGAGAGCCUACUAACAUCAGAAAGGUCGCUGCUGACCAUAAAAAAUUUGUGAAGGGCACAACCAUGUACCCGCUGGAGCACAGUCUAGGACAAGGGGUACUUUGCACAGUGCCAGCCAAUUAAAUCACGCAGAGCUGACUGAUACGUGAUUUAUAUCGGUUUCUCUAUUAGCAAGUGGAUGAAGAAAUCGCUGCAGGUCGAUGAUUGUUGAGUUUAUUCCGGAAGCAGCUAGUAUCUGUCAGUCCAUGUUAAAGAAUUUGGCCAAGGCGUUGAAGAUUUUUCAUGCCCCGGCCUUUUGUAAAAGCUUUAGUAGUGCCCCAUAUGCAGAUGGCAAUUGGGUUGCAGGUGGUGGAUAAGCUUCCAUUCCUUCUAAAUGCACUUGUGUCAGCUGAAAGAAUGUUCAAGAGAUUGCUAGUACACAGAAAAUGGUUUCCUUUUUCCAACGGUUGUGCGUAUAAUGGAUCAAAGGCCCAAAACCCAACCACCUGGCCAGCACAUGAUGGUGUCUUUGUCGAUGAGAUUGGUUUCUCUCCUGAUGACUUGCGAAAAUCUGAUCCACUCAGAAGUCAUGAUACGUGUAAGCAGUACUCGAGCUCCAAUUGCUUUUCAUAUGGGGUUGAUUCCAAGAACCUUUCCAUUAAAGUUACUCUACACUUUUGACUUAUUUCAGCCAUUUGGGGGCAGCUUGUGAAGUUGGAAGAUUCAGCAGAAACCUCAGGAAGUUUCACUUUGGUAGAGGGAGUAUUCUCCAUUCCAGAUCAGCUCCCUAGCUAGCUAGCUAGGUUGGAAGAGAAAGUACUGAUCAAGGAUUCAAUUCUCUCAACACUAGUGUUGAGGCAGUGCUUCCUGACAGCAUUAUUAUUCUCAUUAAAUCAACUUUAGCUUUUAAAAUAAAUUAUCCAAGGGUUAAAGAAUUAUACUGCAGACUUGAAAAUAAAUUUAGAGGUC